rnacentral:rRNA from 1 species
AUGCCGGCGGCAGCUGGGCCAUCAUCCCAUGCUUCUCCUGCUUGUGAGGCCAAAACCGAUCUAUUGACUGGCACCCCGCUCGUUCAUGCUUCCUUCUACUCCCUGCCAGCGGCCAUAGCUCCAUACGCUUGUGGCUGUCUUGUUCCGCCCAAAGGGCCCACCAGUUCCCAGUGCAAGGCGUCUCCGGUGCUCCUGCCGCUUUUCCCGGCACCGUCAGCAGCUGCAACAAUGGAUGUCGCAUACUCCGCGGCUAACCCGGUCAUCCUCGACUCAUCGGCGUCGGUGGACGCGCCGGCUGAGCUGGUGGCUGAUGACCCCGCCGCCAGCAAGGACCAGGAGAUGCGUGUUGCUGUCGUGGCCCAGUCAGAGCUGGCACUCGAGCAGGCGCCGCCCAGGCGCAGCGCGAGGCUGAUGAAUUUGCUGGAUGGGCCGCGGGUGAGAUGGGUGGAGCGAGCGGCCAAGCGCAAGGAGUCGCUGUCUGCAUCCACUGCUUCCGGCUCCUCGUCUGGGCACUCAUCCGGCCCGUCCUCCGCUCCUCGCAAGAGGGCCAAGAAGAUCAAGGACGUCUCCUCGGCCUCGCUGAUCGAGUUACCGCUCAGGCGCACGCCCAAGACUAUCUGGAGGAACAAGCUCAAGGCGCUAUCAUACUGCUGUGAUCUCAUUGCCUCUGAUAUUCUGCUCAAGCCGGAAGAUCGUUCUGCCGCCUCCACUUCCCACGCGCGUGCACUAGACCUCAACGAUUAG